GGGCGUCUUGACUCUCGGCAGUAUCGUGUACCUGCAUUCCCACCUCAGGGUUUGACCUCAGCAGAUGGGCUCUGUCUGUAAUGUACGCCGAAAGUGUGAGAUUUGGAGGCAUGCUGGGAAAGAAAUGUUAUGAUAACUGGCACCGUUUCAUCUUCAUUCAUCAAACGGAGAAUUAUAUCGUAGAGCAAGUGCUUGACAUGUGCGGUUAUACUUAAAGAUCAAAAUGGUGUUGACAGAUCUUUGACCCAGUGAUGACUUCAGCACACAUUAUGACAUCACACAGUUUUUGUUUAAUCUAAUCAUAGUGCACUACGCACAAACUAAGUUUAGAAGACAAAAGAUUUGGGGCAGAAUGUUCUGGCAGUGAAAGUGAACGGUGAAUGGAGGCUGUUGAGAAAAUUGACCAAAAAAAAAAAAAAAAAAACCACAA
ensembl:lncRNA